AUUGAACGCUGGCGGCAGGCCUAACACAUGCAAGUCGGACGGUAGCACAGAGGAGCUUGCUCCUCGGGUGACGAGUGGCGGACGGGUGAGUAAUGUCUGGGGAUCUGCCCGAUAGAGGGGGAUAACCACUGGAAACGGUGGCUAAUACCGCAUAACGUCGCAAGACCAAAGAGGGGGACCUUCGGGCCUCUCACUAUCGGAUGAACCCAGAUGGGAUUAGCUAGUAGGCGGGGUAACGGCCCACCCAGGCGACGGUCCCUAGCUGGUCUGAGAGGAUGAACAGCCACACUGGAACGGAGACACAGUGCAUGCACCUACGGGAGGCAGCAGUGGGGAAUAUUGUAAAAAGGGCGCAAGCAUGAUGCAGCCAUGCCGAGUGUAUGAGGAAGGCCUUCGGGUUGUAAAGUGCUUUCAGCGGGGAGGAAGGCGAUAAGGUUAAUAACCUUGUCGAUUGACGUUACCCGCAGAAGAAGCACCGGCUAACUCCGUGCCAGCCGCCGCGGUAA
rnacentral:rRNA from 1 species